AACGAACGCUGGCGGCAGGCCUAACACAUGCAAGUCAAACGGCCCUUCGGGGCAGUGGCGCACGGGUGCGUAACGCGUGGGAAUGUACACCUUGGUAAGGAAUAACUGCUGGAAACGGUAGCUAAUACCUUAUAAUGACUCCGGUCCAAAGAUUUAUCGCCAAGGGAUCAGCCCGCGUCAGAUUAGAUAGUUGGUGGGGUAAUGGCCUACCAAGUCUACGAUCUGUAGGGGGUCUGAGAGGAUGAUCCCCCACACUGGUACUGAGACACGGACCAGACUCCUACGGGAGGCAGCAGUGAGGAAUAUUAGACAAUGGGCGAAAGCCUGAUCUAGCCAUGCCGCGUGAGUGAAGAAGGCCUUAGGGUGUAAGCUCUUUCAAUAGUGAAGAUAAUGACGGUAGCUAUAGAAGAAGCUACCGGCUAAAUUCGUGCCAGCAGCCGCGGUAAUG
rnacentral:rRNA from 1 species